rnacentral:rRNA from 1 species
GAAGAUUGAGUGGCAAACGGGUGAGUAACGCGUAAGAAUAUACCCUUUAGAGUGGGAUAGCCUUUGGAAACGAAGAGUAAUACCGCAUAAUCCGAUAUAUAGAGAUGUAUAUCGGCAAAGACGAAAGUCGCUAAAGGAUUAGCUUGCGUCAGAUCUGUAGUUGGUGAGGUAAAAGCUUACCAAGCAAUGAUCUGUAGCUGGUCUGAGAGGACGGCCAGCCACACUGGGACUGAGACACGGCCCAGACUUC